CAGCCAUUGACGUUGCUCCUUGAAGGGUGAUACUGUGAAGUUGCGUCAGGCUGUGAUGUGCAGAAGGAAGCAGGUUCAAACUCACUCUUGUUUUCCCUGCAGUGCCACUGAUAGCCGUGAACUCCGUGACAAUUGUGCUCCUCCUGUUGUUCGGUUGAAGAUUCCUGCUGCAAAAUCUUUUGGACAUCCAAAGAAGCGAGUUGCUAGCCUCAUUGCUCUGAGUUUUCCGGGGAUACAGCACGGUUUAACUUGUUUUGCAGAGUGGAGCAGAUCCAGGAGGAGAGCCUGCGUUGUUUC
rnacentral:lncRNA from 1 species